rnacentral:rRNA from 1 species
CAAGUCGCGCGAGAAAAGGGGGGCAACUCCCUGAGUAAAGCGGCGAACGGGUGAGUAACACGUAGGUAACCUACCCUCGAGCCUGGGAUAACCUACCGAAAGGUGGGCUAAUACCGGAUAUGACCACGGGAGUUGCGGCUCCUGCGGUGAAAGGUGGCCUCUGCUUGCAAGCUACCACUCAUGGAUGGGCCUGCGCGCCAUUAGCUAGUUGGUGAGGUAAUGGCUCACCAAGGCGAUGAUGGCUAGCUGGUCUGAGAGGAUGGCCAGCCACACUGGGACUGAAACACGGCCCAGACUCCUACGGGAGGCAGCAGUGGGGGAUAUUGCGCAAUGGGCGAAAGCCUGACGCAGCGACGCCGCGUGGGUGAUGAAGGCCUUCGGGUCGUAAAGCCCUGUCGAGGGGAAAGAAACGGUUCCGACCCAACACGUCGGGACCCUGACGGUACCCCUAAAGGAAGCACCGGCUAACUCCGUGCCAGCAGCCGCGGUAAUACGGAGGGUGCGAGCGUUGUUCGGAAUCACUGGGCGUAAAGGGCGUGUAGGCGGUCUGUUAAGUCUGAUGUGAAAGCCCGGGGCUCACCCCCGGAAGUGCAUUGGAUACUGGCGGACUCGAGUCCCGGAGAGGAGGGUGGAAUUCCUGGUGUAGCGGUGAAAUGCGUAGAUAUCAGGAGGAACACCGGUGGCGAAGGCGGCCCUCUGGACGGUGACUGACGCUGAGACGCGAAAGCGUGGGGAGCAAACAGGAUUAGAUACCCUGGUAGUCCACGCUGUAAACGAUGAGCACUAGGUGUCGUGGGUAUUGACCCCCGCGGUGCCGCAGCUAACGCAUUAAGUGCUCCGCCUGGGGACUACGGCCGCAAGGUUAAACUCAAAGGAAUUGACGGGGGCCC